CUCGUCUGUGGAAAGAAACCAACAUACAAAAGGAAGAAGCAGAUGGUGGAUGGAGACAAAUCUUCGAAUAUAUCUCUUAGAUUGCAGAAGGUGGGCUGAAGUCUUAUAGCUGUAAGCCAUAUUUCACUUACUGCCUAAUCGAGAACUUUCUCUUAUUUAUAAUCAAAAAAUGCCGCAUUAGUUCACUAUGUCUACUACAUAUCAGGUACUGUGUUAGGUGGGGGCUGGUGGAAGGAUAAAGAUGAAUAAGACACUUUCAUAAUAUAAAUAACAAAGCUGAAAUAUAGAUGAAAGACUCUCUAUAGAGAGACUGUGCUUUAGAAUUAUUGAGAGUAUGAGU
rnacentral:lncRNA from 1 species